GGCUCCGUGAUAGAGGAACUGUUUCCAAUAAGGACACACUGCCGGGACUUAUUCAACGAGAGGCUGAAAGGCGGAAUCCCCUGGCCUUUCCCCAUAAACUGCGCCUGUUCCUCCUGCCAUGACGUCAUCGUUGUCCCGAAAUUUGCCAUGUGGUGCUGCAACCUGAACUACCUGCCCUGAUGACCUCGGGUGGCUGGAGAAGACCCUUCGACGGAAGCCAGAGCGGUCCCUUUGCUUCGCUCAGAAGGGGAAAAGGAGGGGAAACCGGGGUGGUUGAUUUCUCUAUGUUCUCUGUAGUGGGAUGGGGUCAAUCAUGCACAGGGGUGUAUCUGCAAUUGUGCACAUCUUUAGAUCUUGCAAUCAGGGCUUUUUUCAGCUGGAACUUAGUUGGUGCGAUUCUAAGAGAACAAGGGGGGCGUUUGUGGUGAGUUCUGGCACGUAUUUUCUAGAAAAAUAGCAGUGCUUAUUCUCCUUAAGGGCAGUUUUCGGGGGUGAUUUUAAGUGCUAAAGGGUGAGAAGAAAGUUGUUUCAUUAAAGAAUCUUUGGACUGCA